UUUAAGGAAAGUCAGGGUGUUUAAAUUAGUUACAAUUAACCCGGUUACAAAAUGGCAUAACAUUCACACUCUGCUACUAAAGUCAAUUCUGUUGUAGUUCUUCUUUGACAAUAUUCUACAUCCACAACUUUCUAUAAUAUAUCGGGUGAAAGAAAGAUUUUAAAAUUUCCCUUUCUUUGUAGAUAUGAUACAAAGUUGUCUGAAGCCUGUAAAAUACAACUGAUUAAGCAGGGGCUUGCAAACAAUGAUGAAUGUGCAACUUCAGGAGGUAUUGGCUCAAGCUCAUAUUCGUGUAUCACUAGUAAAUUUGGUGGUACACAAGCUCAUCAAAAAUGGAUGCAAAAUUUUGAAAGAAGACCUGAACUCCCAGCUAAUGGUGUCUUAUCUUUUAACAACUAUAUAGAGAGCUAUAAUAAACAGAUGAGACAGAGAAUGAAACGACUUUCAAAGGAGCUCAGUCAUGCAUUUACAAAACUUGAUUAUUUUCCCUGAUUGAAUCCUGUAUCAGUGCUUCCAUGUGGACCAAAGCUAAAAAAAGGGAACAAUCCUUCAACAAAACAAGGUAUCAGAUAUAAGAAAAAUUAACAGCAUAGAAUUAUUGAAGUCCUUCCUAUUUUCUAUUUGUUGGAAUUUACAUAAUGUAAGGACAGCUUAACAUUCUCAAACCCACUUAUUCCAAUUAAUUGCCAAGGGAGGCUAGAACCUACCUGUACAGCAACAGCCCAGGACAAUAAACAGUUCUGGCCAGGGAGUCAGUC